rnacentral:rRNA from 1 species
GCGUGCUUAACACAUGCAAGUCGAACGAUGAAGCCCAGCUUGCUGGGUGGAUUAGUGGCGAACGGGUGAGUAACACGUGAGUAACCUGCCCCCGACUUUGGGAUAAGCCCGGGAAACUGGGUCUAAUACCGGAUAUGACUUCCUGCCGCAUGGUGGGUUGUUGAAAGAUUUAUCGGUGGGGGAUGGACUCGCGGCCUAUCAGCUUGUUGGUGAGGUAAUGGCUCACCAAGGCGACGACGGGUAGCCGGCCUGAGAGGGUGACCGGCCACACUGGGACUGAGACACGGCCCAGACUCCUACGGGAGGCAGCAGUGGGGAAUAUUGCACAAUGGGCGGAAGCCUGAUGCAGCGACGCCGCGUGAGGGAUGACGGCCUUCGGGUUGUAAACCUCUUUCAGUAGGGAAGAAGCGAAAGUGACGGUACCUGCAGAAGAAGCGCCGGCUAACUACGUGCCAGCAGCCGCGGUAAUACGUAGGGCGCAAGCGUUAUCCGGAUUUAUUGGGCGUAAAGAGCUCGUAGGCGGUUUGUCGCGUCUGCCGUGAAAGUCCGAGGCUCAACCUCGGAUCUGCGGUGGGUACGGGCAGACUAGAGUGAUGUAGGGGAGACUGGAAUUCCUGGUGUAGCGGUGAAAUGCGCAGAUAUCAGGAGGAACACCGAUGGCGAAGG